rnacentral:rRNA from 1 species
UACGGGGGGGGCAAGCGUUGUUCGGAAUUACUGGGCGUAAAGGGCUCGUAGGUGGCCAACUAAGUCAGACGUGAAAUCCCCAGGCUCAACUUGGGAACUGCGUCUGAUACUGGAUGGCUUGAAUUCGGGAGAGGGAUGCAGAAUUCCAGGUGUAGCGGUGAAAUGCGUAGAUAUCUGGAGGAAUACCGGUGGCGAAGGCGGCAUCCUGGACCGAGAUUGACACUGAAGAGCGAAAGCUAGGGGAGCAAACGGG